CCCCCUACUUUUUUUUUCAUGUGGGAUUUACUUGGUCUGCAGUUAAUAGGUGAUAAAGUUCAAGGCGGAGAGAAGGGUGAAGGGAUUAAAGAUGGAGUGUCAUUAGAGUGAGGCGGGGGUGUAGACGGACAGCAUGUUUAUCCAUCCAAUGAUAGACAGACAGACAUGCAGAAAGGAAGUGGUUCGGUGAUGUUGAUACUGAGCCCUCUACUGGCAAUUAAGCCAGCAGUUAAGCCAUGGUAGGUUGAGGUAAUAAAAAAAAGACAACUGCCAAUUAAAUCAGGUUAAAUUUGUUAAACCCCUGAAAAUAUAACUGUCUGGAGCCGGGACCAAUAGAGUUGCAGCCUUAUAUACCUCUUAUAUACACCCCUGCUCCUGUAAUCCCCCCAAACCCCAUCCUCAGACAGUGUGUUUAAUCUCAGACUACGAAAAAACAAACCAAAGAUCAGCAAAAAAAAGCAUAAAAAUUCAGAAAGAAAGAAAAAUAUAGCAUCCUCAGCUGCACUAAGGAAUAAAACGGUUAAAUGUAGAUUAUUAAACAUUAGAAGACAGUGCUGUCUUCAAAGUCCCUGUUACUAAAUGAUUUAAUAACUGAUCACCAUAUUCAUUUACUCUGGCUUACAGAAACCUGGUUACAGCAGGAUGAUUAUGUUAGUUUAAAUGAAUCAAUACCCACGAGUGAUGCUAACUGUCAGACUCUUCGAGAACAGGCCGAGGAGGGGGAGUAGCAGCAAUCUUCCACUUCAGUUUGUUAAUCAACCAUAAACCCAGACAGUUUUUAUUCACUUGAAAGCUUAACUCUUAGCCUUGUUCACCCUAAUUGGAAAACUCAAACUAAAUUUAUGUGGUUCUUACACAGAGUUUCUAAUUUCUCACAUUUUUAUUUGAUUUAAUGCUUAGUUAAAAUAAAAUUCUAACAUCUAUCUAAAUACUGGCUAUUACAGCCUCAACACUGCAUUUAAUCAUCACCCUUCACUUUAAUAACACUCUGGAUGUUGUUCUGACAUAUUUACUACAGAGUGAACACUUAAAAACAUUCUCUGAAAACCCCCUUUGUCUGAUCAUUUCUUAAUAUUAUUGAAAUAUACAGUAAAGGAUUUCAUGGCAGUGGGGAAUGCAUUUCAUUACAGUAGAUGUCUUUCUGAAAGUGCUGUAAGUAUGUUUGAGGUAAUAAUUCCUCCACUGUUAUCUUAUUCAAUGCGGAGCAGUUACCUAUACUCACACAGGUAAUGAGGUAGUGUUACUGAGGUAGUGGUUUUAUACUACUUACCAUUAUAAGAUAAUGCGUUGAUUAAAUCAGCAAUAAUCCAAGAGAGAGAUACUGGGUUAACUGGGUGUGGGGGCGGAUUGCCCCUCUGGGUGGGAGGGUACCUGGACCUGGGGUAUAGAGUAUGUUUGGGGAGUGUAAGUGUGUGUACAGUGUCCAUUUGUGUCUGUCUUCACGUUGGGUGAGUGCUGAGUAUUUGUAUAUGUUUGCAUGAGGGUGGGAAUGCAUCUUUGUGUCUGUGUGUGCCUGUUUGUCUAUGUGUCAGGACGGGUCUUAGACACCACCUCUCCGUGAACAUCUCCGGCCCCCGGGGGGCCUAUCUCCCCCUACUACACUCCCUGCUGGUGGCUGAUGCCCUCAGCCAUCGGUGCAUUGGUUUUCGGUGUCCUGGGCUGGGAGCUCAGUUAUGUACUGGCUCGCUCCCAGUGGCUGCUUGGUGGGCCCUAGCACCUGUGGCUCCAUCGGGCCCCUUCCGGGGGAUGGGGGGGCCUCGGACGUCUGGGCCAGGGGCUUGGUCCGCUCUGGCACAGCUGGCUGCCGGCAGAACCUGCAGGCACGUUGCCGCAGCCCGCUGUGGCUUCUGCAUUGUGGCUGCUGGGUGACCUCCCGUCUGGGGCUCUCCUCAGCUCUUUCCAGGAGGGUGGCGCGGCUGUAAAGCUCCACUUUGAAGAUUUCUGUAACCUGAAAGAGAAUACGCACAUGCCUGCCUGUUCUCCACUUCUGUUCCCUUCUUGUGUGUGCGAACUCGCCUGCCCCCACCCAAGCUCACGCCUCCUUUGGUAAAUUCCUGUUAGACCCGGUAAGCUGAAGAACUCAUCAUCGUAGUAUUCGUUUCUCUUUUGUAAAUAAAGUUUUUCUGCAAAUCAUCACAAAACAUUUAAUAUCAUUUAACAUUAGAUUUUUUUUUUUCAAAUCAAU